rnacentral:rRNA from 1 species
AUGUUUAGUUGUGUGCAUACUCUGGGGCAGGCCAACAUGAGAAGUUGUUUGCUAAGCUGUAUGAGAAAUCUGCACAUACUUCCCAAAAGCACGACGGCGACGGAAUUCUUUCAGGCCAAACAGACACCAACCCGUCAUCCAUCUGAACCUGCACCACCAGCGCCCCAUGACGCUGCCGUGACCGCGGACAGCCAAGCCGAUCCGGCACAGGCGUGCCUCCUCAUCCGACGCAGCCCUGCAAAGCACACGCCGGCGGGCGGCGGAGCAUGGAUGCCCGGCGGCGGGGUCACAGCAGAUGAUGGAGCUCGGACCGGUGGAGAAAGAGGGAGCUCAAAUGGUGGGGUUGAGGCGGACGAGAAGCUCGGACCGACCGCGCAAGAGGGAGCUCGCCCCGGCGGCGGCAGCAGCGGCAGUGGCGAUUGGUUGCUGUGA